CUGACCUUUGACCUAUAGUUCAUGUCUGUCAAAAAUGUAUGCUCAUUUUGAUUUCUCUUCCUCUUCUGUGGGACAAAAGUGAACUUUAAGUCGUGCCAACCUGUCUAACUGAAUGUGUUGACUGUCUAAAAGAUUCGAGUUGUUAUGGAACAGAUAGGGAAAACAAAAUAAGACAUUGACGCACUAACAAGAGAGAUAAGAAAGGGAUAAAGCCAAACGAAGACAGUGUUUUGGGCACCAUCUUCUUUUCCUUGGUGACGGGCGCGCCCGGGGGGGAAACUUUCUGUGUGCUAGACAACUCAACCCAACCAUUGUACCAUUUGAUUAUGAGUAAAAUAAAACUCUUGUGUUAAAUCUACUUUGGUUCUCAUUGACAACCUGGACUUUCCACUACAAAAUUGGCGUCACGAACUAGGAUGGUCCAGAACUCUGCAAGUCAACAUCCGAUCCGGCUUCUCUCUCAGGCAGACAACGCUUGCACGCGCGCAUCUAAUAAAAGAAGGAACUUCCUGAUGUUGCCUGACAGCACGACAUCAGCUGACAACUACUGGGGACGCCUCCCAGGAAUGAGUGGAAGACGGGGACUGCUCCAACUGUCCUAGCACUGGCUGACGGAGUCACAAGAUCAGCACUUCUCAGGACCAGCAGCUUCCUAGGAAGGUGGAAAGACCAUGAGACCAAAAUGGUAAGUUUGCAAAAUGUAGAAUAUUGUGUGCCAGUUCCUCUGUGCAGAUUUGAGGAUGAAAGCAGCCACUCCAGAUUCCCUUGCACUCGCUAAGAGGGGCACGGUCAAAGCCAAUCCAGGACCAACACCCGAUACCCGACUGGAAGGAACCGAGAGGAGAGACAACACCUUGCCAGCGAUGACGAGAACAACUAACGUAGCCAGGAACGAUGCGUCCAUCGGGACUCCAGCAGCCCUGGAAGGAGGUGUCGGGAGUGCCGAAGCGGCGAGGAGGCGUUGAAGCAAGCCGAGGGCCUGGACCAAAGCCCCAACGCCCCAUACUUUGCCCCGCCUUCCCCAAAGCCCCAUACUUUUCCCCAAUUUCGGCCAGCACGGACAUGCCAUUAAACAGUCUGCCCAAUGGACUGAACCACACCCCAAGAAGAGACAGAGACAGACUGUUUGAGUGGAUCUCUUUCUUCACCAAGGCAGCCAAAAGCCCAACGAGGUGUCGGCAGGCCACCAGCCUGAGGCACCACCGAGCCAUCUAUACGAGCACUAAUCGAACAUGGACUCAUACGAAAUUCAGUUGUGUGUACAAAAUCAAUUGGUAACUACAUUCAUUGCAAAUGCCGGGAAAAAUAAUAAUGCAACAGCUUACAGUCAUAAGUCUAUAUUAAUUCUAAACCAGAUCUUGUUUGAUUCAUUAUUAAUGUGAAAAUACAUCUUGAAUAAGCAUAUAUAUAUUCAUCUAAUUAUGUUCAUGAUCAAAGUAUUUUGUUAUUACGUUACUAACUCAAAGGGUAGGCCACUAAUUGUGUUCUGUGAGAUGGUUUUACUGCAGGCU